rnacentral:lncRNA from 1 species
UCCUGAAUAAGCAAUCCUGACUAGAUGGUCCCGGGGUGUCUGUCAUGCUUAAACUCCGGUAAGUAGACCCAUACCUGUAACAGAAAAUUAAGGCCAAAUAAAGUUAAAGACCUAGAAUACUAUAUGAGACAAUAACACAUAAUGCAAGACAUAAUUGAGACUAUUUUUGCAAAAUAAUGUAUUUGGCCAAAUGGUGGCUAGAAGUGCAAAUGUGGGUUGCCUACGUAUCACGCCCUGAAAGACGAGAAUCAGGUAUGCGUAAUUCGGGCAGAUUGGAUACGGGCAAGAAUUAAAAAUAACUAAUUUAUAGAAAAAUAUAUUUUUUUGUCUUUUGUUUUGAAAAAUGAUGAAACAUGUAAACUCUUUUUUGUAUUUUCCUUUUCCUCUUUUUUUGAUUUUUUGUUUGGAAAAUGAUGGGAAAGUGCAAAAUCUUUUUGGAUUUUUCAUGUUUUUUUUCUUUACUUUUUCUUUAAAACAAAAUGUGAAAGAAAACAUAACUGGUCCCUAAUUGCUUUAUUUUUUACACUUCACCCUCUUCUUUUUUUCUCAUUUAUCCUCAAACCUCAUUGGUCUGCCAAAUGACCCUUUUACCCUUAAAAAUUGCAAAAUGUAGCACAUAGGAUGCAUCAGGAUGGUCUUUUAUUUUUGGGGUACACCUAUCCUAGACGGACCCAACCCCUGUGUUGAGUCCCAAAAGUCAAAUGCACAUGAUGCAAACAAGUAUUCUUACUAGGGAUCCGGCAUGAGGCUGAGUUAUUCUAGGUUCAAACCUGGGUAUGUUGUUCAAGACUUGUGUACCCGAGCGGACAACUCGAGUCGGGAGGGGCUACGUACCGAGAACCAAAAGACCAUCCGACUUUGUAUCUUGUCCGAGCCUCUUUCUAAUUUAGGGUAUGACACUAACAGAAAAGAAGUCAAGCCGGCGUGCACUUCCCCGAAGAUGAGAGUAGAAGUGUUUUGUAGCAGUUUAUAUACAGUUCAAAUAAUAUUAAAGUAGUAAAAGCGGCAUUUAGCACAUUAGGCCCAAGCAUGUAAUAAAAAUCAGAUAGUAAACAAAGCCAAUAAUAACAAUUAUUCUAAGCUCGAAUCCUGAACCCUGAACCAGAGAUUUUGGGUUUGAUCCCCAGUAAAGUUGUCAAAGCUGUCACACCUCCUUUUUCUACACCCCCGGAAUGGGUAUAAGGGAGUUUUUUCCAAUUUAAGUGACGAUCGAAACAGGAUUAUUUAUUAAAAAUCAGAGUCGCACUUGGGAUAAUUUAUGGUGUCUCAAGUCACCGGUUCAAAUCCCGAAUCGAGGAAAGAUUGAUUCUGUUUUACAGUCCGCUAACACAAAAAUCCGGGUAAGGAAUUCUGUUAAUCCGAGAGAAGGUGUUAGGCAUUCCCAGAUUUCGUGGUUUUAGCACGGUCACUCAACUAUUAUUAUUGGCUUAUUUAUUUGACUUUAAAACAUCUUUGAAACCUAUGUGCAUUUGUAUUCCUUUUAAACCGCUUUUAAUAAUCCGAUUGUUAUACAACUAAUUAUUUGAUUACACAUUGUGAAUCAUGUUACCGGAGCCGUACCCACGAUCCACAACAUGUUUAUUUUAUAAACAAGAUUAAAUUGUGGCCGGAUCACAUAAAUGUACUCCCGAAUUUUAGAAAUUAAGUGUCAUAACCACGUCACGGGAACCGUACCCGUAGCUAUGACAAUUUAUUUAAUUAACCGCCUAAAGCAAACUACGAGAUUUCAGGGCAUUUUCUACACUAAUUAUGAUAUCGAUGUGAGGGCCAUAGACUAGGUGAUUGUAUGACACACCUCAAUUUUAUUAAAGGAAAUGCACACAACUAAGAGAACUACGGAUAUUCAUAUUUAGAGCUAAUUUGAAAUUAAGUAUCACAACAACGCCACGGGAACCGUACCCGUAAUUAUGAUGAUUUAAUUACGUGCUUAAUGCAAACUACGAUAUUCAUAAAUUAUGUAUUUGUCCUAAACUAAUUUGAGAUUAUUGCGAGGUUCUCAUAGUAUGGAAUUUGUUGCGGGGGGAAGUGUAACAUUUAGCUAUUAUUGUCUAUUACAUUAAAGACCAUCACUCAGAAGAUUGCAAAUGAAAUAAGUUAUUGAAAAUAAGAAAAGAUAUUAUUGCAACAAUACAUAUUAUUCCUAUAAUAAAGCAUAGAGACAAUCCUAAAAAGGAAAAAACUUUAACAACAAUACAAUCACAUUAGGUUAACAGAGAAGCAACGUAGAGGACACUCUUCCAUAGAACACAAAAUGUAAGCACUAAAAUAUUAAUAAUAAAAUUUAUCAAUUUAAGUUAUUAAAGGAAACAUCAGAAUUAUAAUAAGAGUAAAAGUGGACCUUUAUGUCAAAGACUAUGAUGUCAACACGCUUUGAAAAUUUAAAGACCAAAAUCGACUUCGAACAAAAAUCAGUGGCCGAAAAUCUCGUCGGUGACUGAACCUCGAUCGAAACCCAACACAGCAGCUCGUAUAAACCUCACCGGCAACCUCAAAACUCGCCCGAACACUCGAACUAAACCAAAAAAUGAAACUGAAGGACUCUAACAUUACAGCGAGAAGAAGGAAAUGCAUACUUAGAUGAAAUUGGGAUUGCUGAGAAGGACGUCAAGGAGCUCCAAGCACCAUUUUGCAUUGUUACUCCAUUUCUUUCCUCUUUCUUAUCUCUCUUUUUUCUUUGUCUCCAGAUUUGGUUUUCUUUGUGUGUGUAAGAGUAUGUCUCUUUUAAUUAUUUGUUUUUUUUGGUAGAAAGAGAAGAUGAAGAGAGGAAGGGAAACGUCUAUUGAAGCUUUUCCUCUUUAUCUCUGUGUGUGAGUAUUAAGGGUCAAUAAGAAGACGAAGUUUCAGAGGGUGGGGGGGGGUUCUUCUUUGUGUUUUGCGGCGCUGCCUUUUUCUCUAGGGCCUAUAUGUCUGAUUUUUUUAUUAGGAUUCUAAGUUAGUUUAAGAUGAAGGUGGUCCGGAUCUUGGGUUCGGGUCGACCCGGUCUGGGCUGGGUUGAGGA